AAUGGACAACCAGAUGCCAGAAAAAUACUAAAUUAGCUACCAAUCCCAACUACACAAGCCAAAAGUAAUAAUAUCCUCAUUUGAGUAAAAACUAAGAAGGAAAGAGGGUAGAGGAGGAUAAAAGAAAUCUCUAGGUGUUGACAAAGAAAAUCACAUAUAUAACUUACAUGGAACUAAAAAUAAUAUUUAACCAAUCCUAUAAGAAUCACAGACAAUCACUAAAAAGUAUUUUUAAAAUAAGAGGAAAAAUCCUUCAGUUAAAAAAACAUGCAUUUUUGUACAUAGGUAAGCAUUGAUAGAAGAGGAAGAAGAAACAAGUACAGUUAGGAAAAUAAGGCAUCCUCUAAAUUAUUUCAAGAACAAAAGAAGAGUCGACAUGAUAAGGCACUCUAAUCUCAUUGAGCAUCAGUAAUAGACAACCUUUGAAAACCACGCAGCAAAUGUCCAUAAGUCUUAAGACAGACUUACUGUGUGGAACAAUUUCUUGAUUGUGUCCAGGACUCUUACCACUGUACAAGACUAAAAUGUGACAGACAAGCACCUAGUAUAAACUCCUUAAAUAUUUCAUAAACUACAUAAUUUAAACUCCAUAAACAUUUUUUUAAAAAUCAUAAACCACAUAAAUUGUCGAAUUUAUAUUUUUUAAAUAUAAAAUAUCUUUUAUAUUUCAAACAGAUAUUGUACACCAAAACGUCUGACCUUCAAAUGCACUAAUUGCUACUGAAAUGUAUUGGUCUAUAGUUCAUUAGGUCUAAACAUAAUUGUAAAGCCAAAUGCAGCUAAUUACUGAUAGUAUGCUAUAUUUUGGUAUUAACAUGACACACGAGAAAAUCAAUAACAAGGCUCCUAUAGACGGUAACCUAAUUGUUCAUUCCAGUGUGACACCAUACAGACCACGUUAUAAUUUAUAAGCAACAGUAAGCAAUAAGUUACCUCUAAAAAGAACAACAAUUCGCAAAGAAAGUGGCA
rnacentral:misc_RNA from 1 species